AACGUGCGAACUUAACUGCUGUACCGCCGGGCUGGCCCUUCGGGAAGUUCUUUUCAGGACACGGGCCAUAAACUAGAAUCACCGCUACAGGUUUAUCGGAGCGACAUCAGCGUUCGUGGUGGAUUGAGUCGUCCCCUCUGUCUCUCCCCUCCAGGGGACAACCAAAGGGACGUCUAUCGACCCACCCACCAAGGAUUCCCCCCCCCCGCAUGGCACAGCAGGAUGCCUGAGAGAUCCACGCAGCCCUACAGCGGCAAGUCACAUUCGCACGGUCAAAAUUCAAUGGCAGAGGGGGCUGGCCCCGUGGCCGAGUGGUUAAGUUCGCGCGCUCCGCUGCAGGCGGCCCAGUGUUUCGUGGGUUCGAAUCCUGGGCGCGGACAUGGCACUGUUCAUCAGACCACGCUGAGGCAGCGUCCCACAUGCCACAACUAGAAGAACCCACAACGAAGAAUUCACAACUAUGUACCGGGGGGCUUUGGGGAGAAAAAGGAAAAAAUAAAAUCUUUAAAAAAAAAAUUCAAUGGCAGAGACAAAACGUUAAGGUCAGCGAGAGGGAAGAGAAUAACCGGCCCAGGAGCAACGGUGUGAAGAACAUGGAGAAGACGGGUCCUAGACGCCGGGGUCCCCGGAGCAGCGAUUUCAUCAGAGGCCCGCGAACGUCCACGAUCUCCACACCACGUUUAUGGCCGACUGCGUGUGUGGGUCCUUUGGAAUCGACCAGGCUACCGUCUGGGCCACUUUGGGACAUCGUGUCUAGCUGCCCCGAGCGGUGGAGCUGUCGUUCGAGUACUCACUGGCGACUUCACACAGCGCCUGCCUCCUCCUCCUCCUCCUCCUCCUCCUCCUCCUCCUCCUCCUCCUCCUCCUCCUCUGAAGGGGCUGACCCCGUGGCCGAGCGGUUGAGUUUGCACGCUCCGCUUCAGCGGCCCGGGGCUUCAAAGGUUCGGAUCCUGGGCUCGGACACGGUACCGCUCAUCAAGCCACGCUGA
rnacentral:lncRNA from 1 species